rnacentral:rRNA from 1 species
UGGAAUAACACGAGGAAACUUGUGCUAAUACCGGAUAAGUCUUUACGGAGAAAGCUUUAUGCACCAUUGGAUGAGCCUGCACUUGAUUAGUUUGUUGGUGGGGUAAUGGCCUACCAAGACUGUGAUCAAUAGCUGAUUUGAGAGGAUGAUCAGCCACAUUGGGACUGAGACACGGCCCAAACUCCUACGGGAGGCAGCAGUGGGGAAUCUUGCACAAUGGAGGAAACUCUGAUGCAGCGAUGCCGCGUGAGUGAAGAAGGCCUUUGGGUUGUAAAGCUCUUUCGUCGGGGAAGAAAAUGACUGUACCCGAAUAAGAAGGUCCGGCUAACUUCGUGCCAGCAGCCGCGGUAAUACGAAGGGACCUAGCGUAGUUCGGAAUUACUGGGCUUAAAGAGUUCGUAGGUGGUUGAAAAAGUUGGUGGUGAAAUCCCAGAGCUUAACUCUGGAACUGCCAUCAAAACUUUUCAGCUAGAGUAUGAUAGAGGAAAGCAGAAUUUCUAGUGUAGAGGUGAAAUUCGUAGAUAUUAGAAAGAAUACCAAUUGCGAAGGCAGCUUUCUGGAUCAUUACUGACACUGAGGAACGAAAGCAUGGGUAGCGAAGAGGAUUAGAUACCCUCGUAGUCCAUGCCGUAAACGAUGUGUGUUAGACGUUGGAAAUUUAUUUUCAGUGUCGCAGGGAAACCGAUAAACACACCGCCUGGGGAGUACGACCGCAAGGUUAAAACUCAAAUGAAUUGACGGGGACCCGCACAAGUAGUGGAGCAUGUGGUUUAAUUCGAAGAUACGCGCAGAACCUUACCAACACUUGACAUGUUCGUCGCGACUCUAAGAGAUUAGAGUUUUCGGUUCGGCCGGACGAAACACAGGUGCUGCAUGGCUGUCGUCAGCUCGUGUCGUGAGAUGUUGGGUUAAGUCCCGCAACGAGCGCAACCCU